AAUGAACGCUGGCGGCGUGCCUAAUACAUGCAAGUCGAGCGGACCAAAGAGAGCUUGCUCUCUGAGGUUAGCGGCGGACGGGUGAGUAACACGUGGGUAACCUGCCUGUAAGACGGGGAUAACUUCGGGAAACCGAAGCUAAUACCGGAUGAUAAAGAGAAACGCCUGUUUCUUUUUUGAAAGUCGGCCUUGUGCUGACGCUUACAGAUGGGCCCGCGGCGCAUUAGCUAGUUGGUGAGGUAACGGCUCACCAAGGCGACGAUGCGUAGCCGACCUGAGAGGGUGAUCGGCCACACUGGGACUGAGACACGGCCCAGACUCCUACGGGAGGCAGCAGUAGGGAAUCUUCGGCAAUGGACGAAAGUCUGACCGAGCAACGCCGCGUGAGCGAUGAAGGCCUUCGGGUCGUAAAGCUCUGUUGUCAGAGAAGAACAAGUACCGGAGUAACUGCCGGUACCUUGACGGUACCUGACCAGAAAGCCACGGCUAACUACGUGCCAGCCGCCGCCGUAAUAC
rnacentral:rRNA from 1 species